UAGCAAAGGGGCGGAUGUAGCCAAGUGGAUCAAGGCAGUGGAUUGUGAAUCCACCAUGCGCGA
rnacentral:tRNA from 1 species